rnacentral:rRNA from 1 species
UACGGGGGGUGCGAGCGUUGUCCGGAAUCACUGGGCGUAAAGGGCGCGUAGGUGGUCUGAUAAGGGUGGGGUGAAAGCCCGGGGCUCAACCCCGGGUCGGCCGUGCCGACUGUUAGACUAGAGUGCUGUAGGGGCAGGCGGAAUUCCGGGUGUAGCGGUGGAAUGCGUAGAGAUCCGGAGGAAGACCGGUGGCGAAGGCGGUCUGCUGGGCAGUUUCUGACACUGAGGCGCGACAGCGUGGGGAGCAAACAGG